rnacentral:rRNA from 1 species
CCUACGGGGGGCUGCAGUGAGGAAUAUUGGGCAAUGCCCGCAAGGGUGACCCAGCAACGCCGCGUGGAGGAUGAAGGCCGUAAGGUUGUAAACUCCUGUUAGAGGAGAAGAAUAGUACCGAUUGGAUCGGUAUUUGACUGUACCCUCAGAGAAAGCCCCGGCUAACUACGUGCCAGCAGCCGCGGUAAUACGUAGGGGGCAGGCGUUAUCCGGUUUUACGGGGUGUAAGGGGCGCGCGCAAGUCAUAGCUGAAAUCCUACAGCUUAACUGUAGAACUGCAGUUGAUACUGUUAUUCUUGAGUUCGGGAGAGAGAGACGGAAUUCCAGGUGUAGUGGUGAAAUACGUAGAUAUCUGGAAGAACACCAGUUGCGAAGGCGGUCUCUUGGUCCGAUACUGACGCUGAGGCGCGAAAGCGUGGGGAGCAAACAGGAUUAGAUACCCCUGUAGUC